UAUUAGUUUUUAUCUUUAAAGUUAAAAAAUUUGGCGGUAAUUAAAUUUUCUAGAGGAAUUUGUUUUAUUAAAUCGAAAUUACGCGUUUAUCUUAACCUGAAUUUUUAUAGUUUUAUAUCGCUGUUUAGAAAGUUUUUUUUGAAUUUAAACUUUCUUUUUGUUUUUACAGAAAAAUCAAGUCAAGAUGAACUUAUAUUUGGGGUAGAAAUGAAUUACAUUUAUUAAAUAAAUAAAAUGGAUUGUUAGUUUAAAAAUUGAUUUGAAAUAGGAUUUAGAAGUAAUUAGGAAUUAUAAUAUCUUUUUGAAUAUUUAAUUUAAUUAUGU
rnacentral:rRNA from 1 species